AACGCACGAGACCUGCGGACCUGCGGAGGGAUCAUUAAUGAGAAACUGCCCCUCGCGGGUAGAUCUCCCACCCUUUGUAAACUUACCUUUGUUGCUUUGGCAGGCCCGUCUCCGGACCGCCGGCUUCGGCUGGCCAGUGCCUGCCAGAGGAUUCUAAAACUCUGUCUGUCAGUGUUGUCUGAGUCUAUAUACAAUCGUUAAAACUUUUAGUAACGGAUCUCUAGAUCGGAAGAGCACACG
rnacentral:misc_RNA from 1 species